GCCGGAGUGGCGAAAUUGGUAUACGCACCAGACUCAAAAUCUGGCGAGGUCACACUCAUGAGAGUUCGAGUCUCUCCUCCGGCACCA
rnacentral:tRNA from 2 species